rnacentral:lncRNA from 14 species
UGGAAAUGAACUCUCAUCAGCUUGUGAUUUCCUGACCUACUAUGACAAUAGAAAUCCUUGCAUCCACAACAAGUAUAAAGAGAAGAUGUGGUAGGAAGAAAGGAGAAAUGAGGAAAAGGUGAC